rnacentral:rRNA from 1 species
GAUGAACGCUGGCGGCGUGCCUAAUACAUGCAAGUCGAGCGAACAGACGAGGAGCUUGCUCCUCUGACGUUAGCGGCGGACGGGUGAGUAACACGUGGAUAACCUACCUAUAAGACCGGGAUAACUUCGGGAAACCGGAGCUAAUACCGGAUAAUAUAUUGAACCGCAUGGUUCAAUAGUGAAAGACGGUUUUGCUGUCACUUAUAGAUGGAUCCGCGCCGCAUUAGCUAGUUGGUAAGGUAACGGCUUACCAAGGCGAAGAUGCGUAGCCGACCUGCGAGGGUGAUCGGCCAAACUGGAACUGAGACACGGUCCAGACUCCUACGGGAGGCAGCAGUAGGGAAUCUUCCGCCAUGGGCGAAAGCUUGACGGAGCAACGCCGCGUGAGUGAUGAAGGUCUUCGGAUCGUAAAACUCUGUUAUUAGGGAAGAACAAAUGUGUAAGUAACUAUGCACGUCUUGACGGUACCUAAUCAGAAAGCCACGGCUAACUACGUG